rnacentral:sRNA from 1 species
AGACAUGACAGGAGGCCCAGCAGUCACCGCCUUCCCCUGCACCCUCACUGGGACCCAUGCAGGGCACAUCAUCAUUGAUGGCAUUGACAUCGCCAAACUGCCGCUGCACACCCUGCGCUCACGCCUCUCCAUCAUCCUGCAGGACCCCGUCCUCUUCAGCGGCACCAUCCGAUGCCAUCAUCACAGAAGGCGGGGAGAAUUUCAGCCAGGGGCAGAGGCAGCUGUUCUGCCUGGCUCGGGCCUUCGUGAGGAAGACCAGCAUCUUCAUCAUGGACGAGGCCACGGCUUCCAUUGACAUGGCCACGGAAAACAUCCUCCAAAAGGUGGUGAUGACAGCCUUCGCAGACCGCACUGUGGUCACCAUCGCGCAUCGAGUGCACACCAUCCUGAGUGCAGACCUGGUGAUCGUCCUGAAGCGGGGUGCCAUCCUUGAGUUCGAUAAGCCAGAGAAGCUGCUCAGCCGGAAGGACAGCGUCUUCGCCUCCUUCGUCCGUGCAGACAAGUGACCUGCCAGAGCCCAAGUGCCAUCCCACACUCGGACCCUGCCCAUACCCCUGCCUGGGUUUUCUAACUGUAAAUCACUUGUAAAUAAAUAGAUUUGAUUAUUUCCUA